rnacentral:lncRNA from 1 species
GCUGAAGAGUGCAGGUCCAGGAUUCUCAGCCUGCAGUGUCCUGGGGACUGGAGGACAGAAGCGUGGUCCUGGGCGGCAGCCACACCAGGUCAAGAGAAGAGUGAGGACCCAUCCUGUCUGAACGUACCUGGUUUGCCUUCAGACACCAUGGAAGAGCCAGGUGCACAGGGAGCCAGGGCCCAGGGGCUGGGCUCCAAAUAUGGGGUUUGUGGGGAGAACGUGCAGGAAAGACCAGCUAGGGUGGCCAGGGGCAGCCACGCUUACGCACAUCUUGGCAGUGGUAACCAACAGGGCUGAAUCCCCACACGGGACCUCAGGGAGCCCAGUGAGGUCAUCUCAGAUGUCUGGCCUCCAGAACUGGGGUCACCCCAGAGUGGGGUCACUUGUUGUGGAAGCAGAGCACCCAAGCCCUCCAACCUCGUCACAGGCGCCGGUUGCCUCUCAGACCCCCAUAGCAUGACCCCCCACAGCUCUGUGUCCGGGCCAGCACCAGAGAGUGUCAGGCUUGCGCUCCCCCGGCUCCCCCGGUGCAUCUGUCUCUGCAAACACCACCCAUCCAUGUCCUGCUUGAGAGUCCGUCUUGGUGCUACAGGGUGCCCGCCCCCUGCUCCUCAUCAACACUGUCCUUGUCCUGUCUCCAGUAGGUGCUAAGUCAGGGACAGGUCCCUCACUGUCCUCCUGCGUGUGCUCUCCCUCCCUCUCUCCUGGUGGGACUUUGGAGGGGUUAGGGAAGAUGGAGCAAAUUGGGAAAGAAUUGGUACCUUGGAAACAUGAGUCUCCUGAACCUGCAUUUACCAUUUAGACUUUCUUCUGUUUUCAUGUUUUCUUUAUGGGAAAUUUCAGAGUCAAGAGAACAGGAAGAGAGGCUGGGGCUGGGGCUCAGAGGUAGCGCGCUCACCUAGCAUGCUUGGGGCCCUGGGUUCGAUCCUCAGCACCACAUAAAUAUAAAAAGAUAUUAUGUCCACCUAUAACUAAAGAGAGAGAGAGAGAGAGAGAGAGCGAGAGAGAGAGAACAGGAAGAAAGAUAAUGAGCCACAGGCCCGCAGCCACCCUGCACCAGCAGCUACCCAGCCUGGGCCCCUGCUGGUCCAGAACGGGACUGCGGAGGUGUCCCGGCUCACCGCGAGCUUUGGUGUGCACCCCCAGGUAGAUGAAGGUGGCCUUUACCAAUAACCAUAAAAUCAUCAUCAAUUCCCACAGUCCUUUCUUUUUCUCCUCCUCCUCCUCCUCCUCCUCCUCCUCCUCCUUCUUUACCCAGGGGUGCUUUACCACUGAGCUACAUCCCUUAAGCCACCAGAGUGGGGUCACUUUGAGACAGGGUCUGGCCUUGAACUUGCAGUCCUCCUGCCUCAGCCUCCCAGGUGGCUGGCAUCACAGGUGUGCUCCUCGCCCGGCUUCAGCGGUGGUUUCUUAAUGAAAUCCAACUUGUGCUGUUUUCAGGGAUGGUCACAGGGCAUGCCACUCUGUUGGCUUGAGCUGGCAGGGUCCCCACAGUGGGGAGGCCCACUGAUCUGCAGUGGCCCCUCCCCUCUCCCCCUGGGACCUUUGUUUGUUGAAGGAACUGGGCCAUUGGCCCCACUGACUUUUAGGGGUCGGCUUCAUGUCCCCGCGGGGUUCUGCCGUUUGUCUCAGCAGUCCCACGCGUCUGCUGUUGUGUUUAUUCUUAAGGGCUUCAUUCUUUCCGCUGUGGUUGUAAAUGGAAAGACGCUCGGUUCUCGUCACCGAGGCGUCUCCGCAACGUGAGUGAGCUCCCGCAUUACCUUGCGUCCCAGAUGCUUCUCCUCCUGCGCCCUUGGACCUUCUCGUUGGGGACCCAGCGCCUCCUUGUUGGGUUCUUGGUCUUCCUCCUCUCUUCCUCCCUGGCCCUGGGUGCACUGGGCAGGUACACUGAGCAGUGCCUGGCCCCUGGUUCCCAGUCCUGAAGCUUCAGUGUCUGUGGCUGGGCCUGCGGCUUGUGGAGGGCUCCCUGAACGGGCAGGCUGACAGUUGAUGAGUCGAGGAGCACGAGGUGGUGUCCUCGAUGAACAAUUAAACCGAGCCGGUCAACCUGUCACAGAAACACGCAACACUUUUUGUGGUGAGAACAUUUGAAAUUUACUCUCUCGGCAAUUUUUAAAUGUACAAAUAUUGAUUGUUUUCACCACAAUGGAACUAAAAAUACGUGUCUCCUGUCUCACUCCCUUUGUCUGAUCUACGGAACUUUUAUUCUUCCCGUCUCCUUACUGUGGUUAGCUUCCAUAUAUCAGCAAGAACAUUCCACCUUUGGUUUCUUGGGACUGGCUUAUUUCACUUAGCACGAUGUUCUCCAUUUCCAGCCAUUUACCAGCGAAUGCCAUAAUUCCAUUUUUCAUCAUGGCUGAGUAAUAUUCCACUGUGUGUAUUCACCCCAUUUGCUUUAUCCACCCACCUGUUGAAGGGCGCCUAGGUUGGUUCCAGAGCUUUGCGAUUAUGAAUUGAGCUGCUAUAAACCUGAUGUGGCUGUGUUACAGUAGUUUGCUGAUUUUAAGUCCUUUGGGUAUAAGCUGAGGAGUAUGAUACCUGGGUCAAAUGGUGGUUCCAUUCCCAGUUUUCUGAGGAAUCUCCAUACUGCUCUCCGGAGUGGUUGCACCAGUUUGCAGCCCAAGCACCCUCAUCAGCACCUUCACCAGCACCCUCACCAGAACACUCACCAGCACCUUCACCAGCACUCUCACCAAUACCCUCACCAGCACCCUCACCAGAACCUUCACCAGCAUCCUCACCAGAACCUUCACCAGCAACCUCAGCAGCACCUUCACCAGCACUCUCACCAACAUCCUCACCACCACCCUCACCAGCAUCCUCACCAACAUCAUCACCAGCACCUUCACCAGCACCCUCACCAGCACCCUCACCAGCCCCCUCACCAGCACCCUCAUCAGCACCCUUACCAGCACACUCACCAACAACAUCACCAGCACCCUCACCAGCACCCUUACCAACAUCUCACCAGCACCCUCACCAACACCCUCACCAGCACCCUCACCAGCACCCUCACCAACAUCCUCACAACACACUAACCAACAUCAUCACCAGCACCUUCAUGAGCACCCUCACCAACAUCAUCACCUGCACCCUAAUCAGCACCCUCAAUAACACCUUCACAAGCACCCUCACCAACACCCUAACCAACACCCUCAUCAACAUCCUCUCCAGCACCCUCACCAGCAACCUCACCAACACACUCACCAGCACCCUUACCAACACCCUCACCAGCACCCUCACCAGCACUUUGGUCACCUGUGUUCUUGAUGACCUCCAUUCUGCUGGAGUGUGAUGGCACCUUGGGGUAGUUUUAAUGUGCAUCUCUAGUGGCCAUGAUGGUGAGCAUCUUUUCUUGUUGGUUGACGUUCGUAUUGUGAGGUUCAUUUCUAACACAAGUUCACGACUUUUUUAAGUAUGAAAGGGAUGUUGGAUUUUAUGGAUCCUUCUUUCUUGCUUACUGGGUGGAUGGUGUGACCCCCUGGGGUCUGCUGGCUGGUGCCCGUGUGCUCAGGGGCCCCUCGUGGCCAUGCCUGCUGUCCUGGCGGGAUCUGCUGGGCAUCUGCUGGGCACGUGGCCCUGUCGCUGAGCAGCGGGGGAUGGGGGCGGUGGCUGCUUACUGCCGCCGCGGCUUGUGCCCAGAGUGUUGUGUGCUGGUUGCCUCUGUCCGCUCCCUGCUCAUGGCCACCACGGUGUGCCUCUUUCUGAGCUUUAAAGCGCAGGCAGUGCCUCUGGAGAGCAGGGAAUUAGACUUUUGAGAUUUUUUUUUUUUUUAGAGAGAGAGAAUUUUUAAUAUUUAUUUUUCAGUUUUCGGCAGACACAACAUCUUUGUUUGUAUGUGGUGCUGAGGAUCGAACCCAGCGCCCCGCGCAUGCCAGGCAAGCGCGCUACCGCUUGAGCCACAUCCCCAGCCCUGAGACUGUUUUUGAAAAUAGCAUUUCUUACCACUUCAGUGUGCUGGCUGGCACACUGGCAGCCUCUGUACCAAAGGUGGCCCUUCCAAGCUCUCCUGAGAGCCACAGAGUGACCCUUGGUUCUCCAGCCGCUUCUCCUGUGCCCGAGCCCUGCACAGGUGCUGGCCUAGGUCUCCCCACCCCCGGGGCCUUCACACUCGUCCUUCCACUUCCCAGUUUGCGGGUCCUUGUAGAUUCGUGUGUGGAAACAGGAAUCUGUACCGUUUCAGAGGAUUAGAGUGGGGUGAGAGUUGAGAGCCAGGAGGGCGCGCCUCUGUGCCUGGACGCUCAGAGUAUAUGUAUGCUGCGGUCCACUGUACGUCCAGCGAGGCAGUCGGGUAGCCGCACCAAGGUCCUGAGACAGAGCUGAACAGGUCUGGCCACUUACAAGUGUCUUCUGACAACCCCGGAGAGCACAGAGCAGUGGGCAAGUCUGUCCUUCCACGUGGGGAGAAUGUGGUGGGUGUUUUAUGGGCACUUAGAAUCCUACCCUUUGGGACUUUAAUGCAAAGUGUUUUUUGCAGUUUAAAUCACUGGCAUUGAUUCAUUCAUAAUGUAACCGGGAAACAUCCUGAGCCAUUGAACAUAUUCUUAGCGGCUGGUUCUGAAGCAGUGGCUGAAUUAAGCAACAGAAACCCAGUUCCCAGCUCUGGGCAUCUCCCGCACGGACACCUGUGCUCACCGCCCAGACUCACCCCCGGGGUCAGGGAGAGACUGUCCUCACACGGGACGUCUGUGCCCACACACUGACACAAGCACUCACCACGCACUCUUUCCAUGUUGACCACGGUGUGAGCAGAACGUGACGAUGGGCGUUAGAACAAGCACGUAUUUGUGGUUGGACAGAGAGUAAAUGAAGUCGUACCUCAGACUUGACUUUCACAAGAAAUGACGAGGUACUAAAGAGCAUCUAUGUCUAACACUGGUUCUUGAGUGGAAAAUCUUUGAUCAAGGGAUGUAAAAUUCCAUACCAAGAGUGUCCACAGGCGUCCUCCUAGAAUCCCCAGACGAGGAGGGCGUGAUCAGUGUUCUCAAGGUCUUUAAGCCCCUGAACCUUGGCAGAGUGUGUGUGUGUGUGAGUGUGUGUGUGUGUUCUAGUGAGAUAACGUGAGCUGAGCAUGAGAUAAGACACAUAAGUCUUUUGUGUGUGGUGUUGGGAAGGGACCCCGGAGGCUCGACCACUGAGCACCAUCUCCAGCUCCUUCUGGUUCUGACUUUGAGACAGGGUCUUGUUAAGUUGCUGAUGGCCUUGAACUUGCAGUCCUCCUGCCUCAGCCUGCACGCAGCUAGGUCCCAGGCGUGGCCACCACAGCUGGCAGACACAGAGGUCAGAAACGUCUGGUCGGAUCCAUUUUGACAACGGCAUACAUCUGUGCAGCCAGGUAGAGGGUGGCCCCAGACCCCGCAAGUUCCCUGGCCGUCCAUCCUGGCACGCGGAAGCCACCCUACGAAUUCAGCCCCCUGCCCGAGCUUGCUGCUCUGGGCUUCAGCGUACUCCUGUGUCCACUUCACGACUUUGCAGAGGCCCUCGAGAGAGAGCCCUGGGCGCGCCUGACGGCCAGCACCGCCCCUUCUGUUGCUCCCAGAGGUGCCCCGAGCUGUCCUUCCCUCCUCCUGUCCAGCACCUGGGCUCUUUCCAGUCUGGAGCUAUGAGAGGGAGCGCGACCCUCCGUGAACGCCCUCGGGCAGUUUCUCAGCCGUCCUUAGGAUCGGGGGCCUGUUGUUAGGGUCUUUCACAAGAAAUUCCCGCCAGUCACACUCACGGCUGCAGAUGGCUCCGAGUCCUUGCCAGAGCUUGUGCCACCUAUGGUGUGACUCCCGGCCACCUCGGGGACACACAGUGCUAGGGCUUUAGUUUUCGUCCCGUGACUCUGGGUGUCACACCACGUGUCCGUGCUCGUUGGCCAUUUCUGUAUCUUCUCGUGUCAUACGGCUCUACACCUUCUGUCUGUCUAAGCUGGAAUCUGGUCUUUGAGUUAUUGAUGUGCAGGAACUCUUUACAUAUUCUGGAUACAAGACCUUUGUCAGAUAUUUGUGCUACAAGUAUUUUUUCCCUAAUUGGUGACUUAUCUAUUC